CCUACGGGAGGCAGCAGUGGGGAAUAUUGCGCAAUGGGCGAAAGCCUGACGCAGCGACGCCGCGUGAGGGAUGAAGGUCUUCGGAUCGUAAACCUCUGUCAGCAGGGAAGAACGGUCACUGUGCUAAUCAGCAGUGAAUUGACGGUACCUGCAAAGGAAGCACCGGCUAACUCCGUGCCAGCAGCCGCGGUAAUACGGAGGGUGCGAGCGUUAAUGGGAAUUACUGGGCGUAAAGCGCUCGUAGGCGGUAUGUCAAGUCAAGGGUGAAAUCCCCGCGCUCAACGGGGGAACUGCCUUUUAAACUGGCAAACUGGAGUGUGUGUGAGGUUAGUGGAAUUCCAGGUGUAGGCGUGAAAUCCGUAGAUAUCUGGAGGAACAUCAGUGGCGAAGGCGACUCUCUGGCACAUAACUGACGCUGAGGAGCGAAAGCGUGGGUAGCAAACAGGAUUAGCUACCCCAGUAGUC
rnacentral:rRNA from 1 species